CUCUUGGUUACAGAAAAAGUGGUUUUGGAUAUGCACAGUGACCCUGUGAAGAUUAACAUAUGCUCAGCCACUUUGAGUUGUGUUCUUGGUCUGCUUAGAAUUGACCAGUACAACACGGCCUGGCCUCAGGGACCCCAGUUCUUGUGGGACCUGCCGGCUGUAGAUGAAUGGAACUCCUCAGCACCACGUCUCUCAGCCUCUUCUCUUUGUGACUGCUGCUCUCAUCCCCUGAUACCUGGAUUCAUCCAACAGCCUCUUCCUUCAGAGGCUACCACGAUCCACUGCACACACAGCUGUGGGAAUGAAGCUACCCGGAGAUGGCUGAACCUAGAGAAUCUAAUUGAGUUUGGAGUCUUCCUGGAAUAACUAAAAGAACAGUCACCAACCGGACGACCUGUGGACAUCUAGGAGAUAAAGGCUGUAACACUUGACUUGGGG
rnacentral:lncRNA from 1 species